UACAGAGGUCUCAAGCGUUGUUCGGAUUCAUUGGGCGUAAAGGGUGCGUAGGUGGCGGGGUAAGUCAGGUGUGAAAUCUCGGGGCUCAACCCCGAAACUGCACUUGAUACUGCCUUGCUCGAGUACUGGAGAGGAGAUUGGAAUUUACGGUGUAGCAGUGAAAUGCGUAGAUAUCGUAAGGAAGACCAGUGGCGAAGGCGAAUCCCUGGACAGUUACUGACACUGAGGCACGAAGGCCAGGGGAGCAAACGGG
rnacentral:rRNA from 1 species